GAUGAACGCUGGCGGCGUGCCUAAUACAUGCAAGUCGAACGGGAUCCCAUUGGUACUUGUAUCGAUGGGUGAGAGUGGCGCACGGGUGAGUAACACGUAGCUGAUCUGCCCUUCACUGGGGGAUAACCAGUCGAAAGACUGGCUAAUACCGCGUACGCUGUAAGGCAUUAGAAAACUUACAGGAAAACGUUUGGCAGUGGUGAAGGAGGAGGCUGCGAUCCAUCAGCUAGUUGGUGAGGUAAAGGCUCACCAAGGCGACGACGGAUAGGGGACCUGAGAGGGUGACCCCCCACACUGGAACUGAGACACGGUCCAG
rnacentral:rRNA from 1 species